UACGUAGGUCCCGAGCGUUGUCCGGAUUUAUUGGGCGUAAAGCGAGCGCAGGUGGUUUAUUAAGUCUGGUGUAAAAGGCAGUGGCUCAACCAUUGUAUGCAUCGGAAACUGGUAGACUUGAGUGCAGGAGAGGAGAGUGGAAUUCCAUGUGUAGCGGUGAAAUGCGUAGAUAUAUGGAGGAACACCGGUGGCGAAAGCGGCUCUCUGGCCUGUAGCUGACACUGAGGCUCGAAAGCGUGGGGAGCAAACAGG
rnacentral:rRNA from 1 species